rnacentral:rRNA from 1 species
AACGCGAAGAACCUUACCCAGGCUUGACAUGCAGUGGACGAUGCCAGAGAUGGCAUUUCCCUUCGGGGCUACUGCACAGGUGCUGCAUGGCUGUCGUCAGCUCGUGCCGUGAGGUGUUGGGUUAAGUCCCGCAACGAGCGCAACCCUUAUCAUUAGUUGCCAACACGUGAAGGUGGGAACUCUAAUGAGACUGCCUGGGUUAACCAGGAGGAAGGUGAGGAUGACGUCAAGUCCGCAUGGCCCUUAUGUCUGGGGCUACACACGUGCUACAAUGGUCGGUACAGAAGGCAGCGAAACCGCGAGGUGAAGCAAAUCCCAAAAGCCGAUCUCAGUUCAGAUUGUAGUCUGCAACUCGACUACAUGAAGACGGAAUUGCUAGUAAUGGCGUGUCAGCAACAACGCCGUGAAUACGUUCCCGGGCCUUGUA